UACGUAGGGGGCUAGCGUUGUCCGGAUUUAUUGGGCUUAAAGCGUGUGUAGGCGGCCAUGUAAGUCCGUUGUGAAAACUCGAGGCUUAACCUCGAGAUGUCAUCGGAAACCAUUUGGCUAGAGUCCGGAAGAGGAAAGUGGAAUUCCUGGUGUAGCGGUGAAAUGCGCAGAUAUCAGGAAGAACACCAAUGGCGAAAGCAGCUUUCUGGGACGGUACUGACGCUGAGACGCGAAAGCGUGGGGAGCAAACAGG
rnacentral:rRNA from 1 species